GAUGAACGCUGGCGGCGUGCCUAAUGCAUGCAAGUAGAACGCUGAAGGAGGAGCUUGCUCUUCUGGAUGAGUUGCGAACGGGUGAGUAACGCGUAGGUAACCUGCCUGGUAGCGGGGGAUAACUAUUGGAAACGAUAGCUAAUACCGCAUGACAACAGUUAUUGCAUGAUAACUGUUUAAAAGGGGCAACUGCUCCACUACCAGAUGGACCUGCGUUGUAUUAGCUAGUUGGUGAGGUAACGGCUCACCAAGGCGACGAUACAUAGCCGACUUGAGAGGGUGAUCGGCCACACUGGGACUGAGACACGGCCCAGACUCCUACGGGAGGCAGCAGUAGGGAAUCUUCGGCAAUGGACGGAAGUCUGACCGAGCAACGCCGCGUGAGUGAAGAAGGGUUUCGGAUCGUAAAGCUCUGUUGUAAGAGAAGAACGAGUGUGAGAGUGGAAAGUUCACACUGUGACGGUAGCUUACCAGAAAGGGACGGCUAACUACGUG
rnacentral:rRNA from 1 species